GCUGAAAUCUUGACACAAGUCAUAGGAAAAGAAAGGCAUGGCCGAGUUAGAGGGCUUGGGUUAGGCCCAACUCCUAAAACAUACUAUGGUUCAUCUAUUAGCCGGGUGUCUACAUGUACAAGCAAGGAAACAAGGCAGGGUGAUGGGCAAGUCAACCAAGAUUUAGUGCAAAGGGUCCAACAGCUGGAACAUGAACGUGCCCAAGAACGUGCUCAUUACAGCGCCCUUGUUAGUUUUAUACAAGAUCAAUUUCCCGGGAAAGAAAUCCCUCUUCCUAAUAUAGGUGCAUCGACUUCGCAGUCUCAGAACCAAUCUGUUGGAGCGAUUACACUAGAAACUAAUGCAAGAGGCUCAUGUUGAAGAUCAUUCAGGACAAUUUCGAUGGAGCUAGCAUACAUGGCGGAGGCAACUUAUCAACAACAACAAUUAGUUAUUAAUUUGGUUGUUUGUGGCAGAGGCAACUUACCAACAUUGACAAUUAGUUAUUAAUUUGGUUGUUUGUCUAACGGAUGUUAUGGUUUGUUUUUUGAAUUUAAGUUGACAUGUGUGCAACUACUCAAAACCAGUUUGUAAACUGAGUUUGUGUUUUUUGAUAAUGUUGUUGCAUGUCUGGUAAUUAUGGUGUAACAAACCUUGGAUGCAUAUUUGCGAGAUUGUUUGAAUUUUAAAUUGUUGAAUGGAG